CUCGGCUAUCGGCCGCCGGCACCAGAAACGAUCUUCCCGCCAGCAUCUGGCCUGGCCUGUGCUUCGCUCCGGCCAGGCCAAAUGCUGGCCGAUCACGGCCGGACUCUAACAUGAGCCGUGGUACCGCUCCGUGGGGCAGGCCAAUCUAACGCCCGUGCGCGCCGUGGUAUCCGAGCGAGGCCGAUAGUUCGGCUGCGGUAUCGGCGACGAGUUUUCCAAGUGCUCCAUUUGGUUUCGCGUCGACGCGUGUUGAGCGACCAAACACUGUCAGGGCCAUGAUCAACUUGCCGGUGAUAUCGAACACCGGUGCACUUACGGCGCC
rnacentral:misc_RNA from 1 species